UACGUAGGAUGCAAGCGUUGUUCGGAAUUACUGGGCGUAAAGAGUACGUAGGCGGUGACAUAAGUCUGAAAUUAAAGACAGAAGCUCAACUUCUGGAAUGUAUCGGAAACUGUGUUACUAGAGGAUAGUAGAGGAAGUCGGAAUUCUCAGUGUAGCGGUGAAAUGCGUAGAUAUUGGGAAGAACACCAGUGGCGAAAGCGGACUUCUGGGCUAUUACUGACGCUGAGGGUACGAAAAGUGUGGGGGAGC
rnacentral:rRNA from 1 species